rnacentral:lncRNA from 1 species
GACCCUUGUUGAGAGAUUUAUCAUGCUCCUAAGAUCAAGACAUUUAUUCAGAAAGAUUCACUCUUCCGAAGUAUUAUUGCAUUAGAGGCAUGGGCUAUGCAAAAAUAUGAAUAUUUUAAGGAAAUAAAAAGGAGCAAGUGCUCGACAACCUCACAGAAAAAAAUGGACAAGUGUCCGGCAGUAGAAUUAGGGGUACCUCGGUAUCCACCUGAAAAAAAAGAAGAGACAAGAAAAUAAAAGCACAUGGUCCCUCUAAUAAGCAAUAUGCCAGUAAGAGUUGAUAAGUUUUUAAUUUCCAAAGUCAUUAAUCUAAGAGUAUGGCAUUCCUCUCCUCGGAUCCCGUUUUGAUCAGGCAAUAAAUGUAAGGUAAGAAUGCUUGAGAAUUUCUGCAAAUUAAAACAGCCUCAGUAAGAUAUACAAAAGAUAAAUGAGUGAUCUGAGAGAACCUAUGAGGAUAAAGGUAUGCUAAAUUUCUUUUCAAAAAAAAAAUAUACAAAAACUCCAAGUGACAGUAUUGAGAAGAAAGGACCUCUACUCUUGACCAUAUAUUCCCCUAACUACGGUACAC